GUUACUGCUAGAUAUCACUUUAUGAUUGGGCUUUAUUUAAAACAAUGUAAAGAAACCAUAAACUUCUCUUUCUCUUAUAAGCCGCCGCUUCUAUUUCACUCCAUCUUGAAACUUUCAUCAUCAACCUGGACAACACUGUCAAAUAUUUUUACAAGCAACUAAUUUUACAAGAAAUAUUUCAUAUUAGUUUUUCUUCUUCUUCUAUAAAUAAAACCCAACUAAAUACUUUCCUUUUAACUCUUUGUUUUUCAUUUUGCCACUAUUUAUUUUAAGAAUUUUUCUGUUAGAAAAACACAGGAAGGUUUGGUUACUGGUCCAACCGGUUGAACCGGCCGACCCGGUUUUCAGUACUAUGUGAUAUAGUGAAUAGUGAUAAAAAAAAUCUAUAAAUAAGACAUUAUGUGUAAUUAUAUUACUUGCAUUUUCUUCUAACUCUUGUUUUGCUCUCUCUGUCUCUCUCAUAUUUUUGCCACCACCACUGAGUAAAUUCUCUCUCUCUCUCUCUCUCUCUCUCGAGAUAUGAUGAAUUCCUACCUUGCGUUGCUGUUUUUGUUCAUUUUAAAAGUAAAUUCCACUUUUGAAGAGGAUAGGAUAAUUGCUCUCCCUGACCAGCCUGUUGUUAAUUUCCAUCAGUAUGGAGGUUACUUAACGGUUGAUGAAAAUCAAGGAAGAAAACUGUUUUAUUACUUCGUUGAGGCGGAAGUCGAUCCGGCUUCCAAACCAGUUGUUCUUUGGAUAAGUAGAGGGGAGAGGAUGAAUUUGUGGGAGGAAAUGAUGAAUAUAAAAUAAGACUAUAUUUACAUCCACUUAUCCAAAGAACAACAGGUUUGGAAGCCGGAUCGACUUCCGCCUCAACAAAGUAAUAAAAUAGUUUCCUCCCGUGAUUUUCAUCAACGGUUAAGUAAUCUCCAUAUUGAUGGAAAUUAACCGCAGGCUGGUCAGAGAGAGCAAUUAUUCUAUCCUCUUCAAAUGAGGAAUUUAUUCUUAAAAUGAAGAAAAACAGCAAAGCAAGGUAGAAAUUCAUCAUAUCGAGAGAGUUUACUCGGUGGUGCUUGCAAAAAUAUGAGAGAGACAGAGAGAGCAAAGCAAGAGUUAGAAAAAAAUGCAAGUAAUAUGAUUACACAUAAUGUCUUAUUUAUAGACUUUUUUUAUCACUAUUCACUAUUUUAGUGGUCGGAGUUAAACGAUGGUCAUCAUGCAAUGAUGUUGUUGCCUAUGACUUUCAGAGCCUUGAGAAACCAACCCUUUCCUUGUUAGGGACACUUGUCAAGUCAGGUGUUAGGGUAUUAGUUUACAGUGGUAAUUUGGAUUCUGUCAUUCCAUCUCUUGGGACAGCUUCCUUAAUAAAACAUUUGGUCGAGGAUUUUGGGUUUAACUCAACAAAGCGUCAUGGACUCUGGUCUGAGGAUGGAUAGGUUGGUGAACCGACUAUGGAGUUUGAAGACAUGCUAACAUUUGCAGGUCUCCUUAGAGUUGGCCAUUUCCUUCCUUUUUCUCAACCAGAGAUAUCAUUGAAGAUGAUUAGGAAUUUUUUAAAAGGAAGGUCUCUUCAUAAUGAGAAGAGAUGUAUGGAGAUAGAGAGAGAAGAUAACUUGUUUGAAUUGUUAAGAGACCUUCCUUUUAGACAAGUAAAGAUUGGGAGAUCAAUUUAGGAGCCUAUGUUUUUGAGAUGUCUAGUGUUUUGAGUGUUGUGUUGAAAUUUGUAUCAGUCAAGACUUUGUAUCAUCCUCCUUGUACCCUCUUGAAUAUAUUAAACUCAAUGUUACAAAAGUCUAAGUAUAAGAUUGGGAGAUCAAUUUAGGAGCCUGUUUUUUUUAGAUGUCUAGUGUUUUGGGUGUUGUGUUGAAAUACUGAAUCAGUCAAGACUUUGUAUUAUUCUCUUUGUACCCUCUUGAAUAUAUUCAAAUCAAUUUCAAAGGAAUCUAAUUAAAUUUGCA